rnacentral:rRNA from 2 species
AACGAACGCUGGCGGCAGGCUUAACACAUGCAAGUCGAGCGCCCCGCAAGGGGAGCGGCAGACGGGUGAGUAACGCGUGGGAAUCUACCUUUUGCUACGGAAUAACGCAGGGAAACUUGUGCUAAUACCGUAUGUGUCCUUCGGGAGAAAGAUUUAUCGGCAAGAGAUGAGCCCGCGUUGGAUUAGCUAGUUGGUGGGGUAAAGGCCUACCAAGGCGACGAUCCAUAGCUGGUCUGAGAGGAUGAUCAGCCACAUUGGGACUGAGACACGGCCCAAACUCCUACGGGAGGCAGCAGAGGGGAAUAUUGGACAAUGGGCGCAAGCCUGAUCCAGCCAUGCCGCGUGAGUGAUGAAGGCCCUAGGGUUGUAAAGCUCUUUCACCGGAGAAGAUAAUGACGGUAUCCGGAGAAGAAGCCCCGGCUAACUUCGUGCCAGCAGCCGCGGUAA